UUUCCGUAGGUGAACCUGCGGAAGGAUCAUUCAUAAUAAGUGUUUUAUGGCACUUUUUUAAAUCCAUAUCCACCUUGUGUGCAAUGUCAGAUCUCGUCAAUCUUGGCGAGAUUUUUAUACAUCAACUCAUUCUUUAACUAAUUUGUCUGAAAAAUAUUAUGAAUACUUAAUUCAAAAUACAACUUUCAACAACGGAUCUCUUGGCUCUC
rnacentral:misc_RNA from 1 species